UACGGAGGGUGCGAGCGUUAAUCGGAAUUACUGGGCGUAAAGGGUGCGUAGGUGGUUAGUUAAGUUAUAUGUGAAAUUCCUGGGCUUAACCUGGGGUGGUCAUAUAAUACUGAUUGACUCGAGUAUGGGAGAGGGUAGUGGAAUUUCCGGUGUAGCGGUGAAAUGCGUAGAGAUCGGAAGGAACACCAGUGGCGAAGGCGGCUACCUGGCCUAAUACUGACACUGAGGCACGAAAGCGUGGGGAGCAAAC
rnacentral:rRNA from 1 species